GCUUCUCUGUUGCAUGUACCGUGCAGUCUCAAACCAAGGGAAUUUGGAUAUGGUGUGUGCCUCAUCCCAACUGGCCAAAUCACACAUUAGUUUUGCUUGACACUGAGGGCCUGGGAGAUGUCGAGAAGGCUGACAACAAGAAUGAUAUCCAGAUCUUUGCACUGGCACUCUUACUGAGCAGCACCUUUGUGUACAAUACUGUGAAGAGGCUGCACGGCUCAGCACAACAUUCCAAGCUCAAAACAGAAGGCUUCUCAAUGAGCUCCAGCAUGCCCAGAGGACUGUUAAUAACAAUGAUCCAUGUGUUUUACUCUAAAGUGCUAAAUAUGGGAGUUUCCUUUUUUACUCUUUGUCACUGAUGACACAACAGAACAAGAAACUGUAGAACUUGGGACAAUCAACAUUUAAAUAAAUUUUAUAAUUAUUUUUUCAAA
rnacentral:sRNA from 1 species